AUAUUGGCUGCCGCAGCUGCCGCCGCCGCCGCUGCCACCGCCGCCUCUGCCUCUUCCUCCUCCUCUACAGCCGCCACCGCCCUUAGCUGGUUCCUGUGUCCCGAGCGGUGGGGAGGAGAAGCGGGAACCGGUCGGAGGAGGAGGAAGAGGGUGGAGUGUGAGGAGAAGAAGGAGGGAGCAGAGGGUGGAGAAGAGAGGCCGAGCGCGGGGCGGAGAAGAGCAGGAGCCGCGGCGGCUCGGCCCCUCCCCCGCCCGCCCCGGCUGCGCUUCUGUUCCCCAGCCCGGAGCUCAGCUCGCCCCAGCAGCCAUGCCGAGGCCUCGCCGUCCCUGAGGAACCCGCCCCCACCCCCCUUCCUUCUCACUUUGAUUCCUACCCCGGCCCACAAGCGCCUUCGACCACUCCCGGGUUCCCCUGGGCGGCCCCUGGUCCCGUCCCCCCUUCUCUAGGCCGCCGCCGCCGCCUCCUCUUCCGCCACCGGGCGCUGGGGCCUUCGCACCGACAACAUGGAGGCCGUGAAAACCUUCAACAGCGAACUAUAUUCCCUGAAUGACUACAAGCCACCUAUUUCCAAGGCAAAAAUGACACAGAUUACUAAAGCAGCCAUCAAGGCUAUUAAGUUCUAUAAACAUGUGGUACAGAGUGUUGAGAAAUUCAUUCAGAAGUGUAAACCAGAAUAUAAGGUACCUGGGCUUUAUGUUAUUGACUCCAUUGUACGACAAUCGCGACAUCAGUUUGGUCAAGAAAAGGAUGUGUUUGCACCCAGAUUUAGUAAUAACAUCAUUAGCACUUUUCAGAAUUUAUAUCGUUGCCCUGGUGAUGACAAGAGUAAAAUAGUCAGGGUUCUAAACUUAUGGCAGAAGAAUAAUGUUUUUAAGAGUGAAAUUAUUCAGCCUCUUCUUGAUAUGGCAGCAGGAAUUCCACCACCAGUUGUCACACCUGUUUUGCCAAGUACAGCAGCAUCUAUGAGCAACAACACCCCAGGAACUCCUGUGACACCUGUUACUCCAGCAAAUGUGGUACAAGGUUUGCCUGACCCUUGGGUAUCUCAGAUAGCAAAUACAGAUACACUGGCUGCUGUGGCACAGAUUUUACAAAGUCCUCAAGGCCAACAGCUUCAGCAAUUAAUACAAACACUACAGAUUCAACAGCAGAAACCACAGCCUUCACUACUUCAAGCACUGGAUGCUGGUCUUGUUGUUCAGUUGCAGGCCUUGACAGCACAACUUACAGCUGCAGCUGCAGCAGCCAAUACUCUCAAUCCACUAGACCAAGCAGUCUCUUUUAAUAAGAAGUUGAUGGAUAGAUUUGAUUUUGGAGAAGAUUCUGAACGCAGUGAAGAAGCUAAAAAAGAAACUCCAUCUUCCCAGCUCUCUCAUGUUUCAGAGUCUGUAAACAACUCGAUUUUUCAUCAGUUAGCAGAACAACUACAACAACAAAAUCUUGAGCAUCUUCGACAGCAGCUCCUGGAACAGCAGCAACCUCAGAAGGUAACCACUCAGGAGAAUCCAGAGAGUACUUUUGGUUCAGAGCACUCUGCAUCACCAUCACAGGGAAGUAGCCAACAACAGUUCCUUGAACCUGAGACAAAUUUGGAUGAUUCUAUAGAUAUUCAGCAACAGGAUAUGGAACUAGAUGAAGGACAAGAUGUUGCUGAAGAAGAGGUCUUUGAGCAAGAAGAAAAGAAAGUGCCUAUUCGCUCUAGGUCAAGAACGCAUUCAAGAUCUCGUUCAAGGUCACCAAGAAAACGAAGGUCCAGGUCAAGGUCUGGUUCUAGAAAACGCAAACACAGGAAGCGAUCACGCUCACGUUCUAGAGAAAGAAAAAGAAAAUCUUCCCGUUCAUACUCUAGUGAAAGAAGAGCUAGGGAAAGAGAGAAAGAAAGACAGAAAAAAGGAUUGCCUCCGAUCCGAUCUAAAACAUUAAGUGUCUGUAGUACUACUCUCUGGGUUGGUCAAGUAGAUAAGAAAGCUACACAGCAAGAUUUAACCAAUCUUUUUGAAGAGUUUGGACAGAUUGAAUCCAUCAAUAUGAUUCCUCCAAGAGGCUGUGCUUAUGUCUGUAUGGUUCAUCGACAGGAUUCCUAUCGAGCACUUCAAAAACUUAGUUCUGGAUCUUAUAAAAUUGGGUCCAAAGUUAUAAAGAUUGCUUGGGCUUUAAACAAAGGUGUAAAAACAGAAUAUAAACAGUUCUGGGAUGUAGAUCUUGGAGUUACUUAUAUACCAUGGGAGAAAGUAAAGGUGGAUGACUUAGAUGGCUUUGCAGAAGGAGGCAUGAUUGAUCAGGAGACCGUAAAUAGUGAAUGGGAAACUGUGAAGAAUUCAGAGCCUAUCAAAGAGCCUGUUCAAACUGUAGAAAGUCCAACAACAGUUGAAAAGACACCAGUAGUAACUACACAGGCCGAAGUUUAUCCUCCACCUGUUGCUAUGUUGCAGAUUCCAGUAGCACCUGCUGUUCCUACAGUUAGUUUAGUUCCACCAACAUUUCCAGUGUCAAUGUCCGUUCCUCCUCCAGGAUUUAGUGCAAUUCCCCCACCUCCUUUCUUAAGAGCAAGUUUCAACCCAUCACAACCACCUCCUGGUUUCAUGCCACCACCAGUCCCACCACCUGUUGUGCCACCCCCUACUAUUCCUCCAGUAGUGGCGACAUCUCUGGUACAGCCUCCUAUAUCCAUGACUCCUGAGACAAUGAAAGAUGUUGCUUUUAGUAACCUUGUUUUGCCAGUUGGCUCUGUAUCUAGCAGUCUUGCUACUUCAACAAUGUCAGCUGGAAGUGUUUUUAAUCCUCCAAGUAACCAACCAGAGUCAGAAGAAAAAUUGUCACACCUCACAGACCACCAGCUUUCUUCUAGUGAAAGUACCAGACAAGUGAUCCACAAUGAUGUCACAAGUAGCUCUGGAAUUCUAGGUGGACAGCCACCAAAUAUGUCAAGCAGUUCUGGAAUUCUGGGUGGACAGCCACCAAACGUGUCCAGCAAUUCUGGAAUUCUGGGAGUACAGCCAUCUAAUGUUUCCAGUAGUUCUGGAAUUAUCGGAGCACAGCCACCAAAUAUUCCAAGUAGUUCCGGAAUUCUGGGACCACAACUACCCAAUGUGUCAGGUAGUUCUGGACUCUUGGGGGUACCACCCCCAAAUAUUCCUAGCAAUUCUGGACUCCUGGGAGUUCAGCCACCAAAUGUUCCAAGUAAUUCUGGAAUUCUGGGACCACAGCCACCAACUGGGCCUCAAAACUUGCCCCCAUUAAAUAUUCCUCAGCGGAUGCCUGGAAUACCAAUGUUAGAUAUUCGUCCAGGACUUAUACCACAGUCUCCUGGGCCAAGAUUCCCUUUAAUGCAGCCUGGACUUCCACCGCAAAGAGGAAUCCCUCCUCCAGCAAUCCUUGAUGCAUCUCUUCAUCCUCCACCUCGUGGUCCUUUUGCUCCAGGAGAUAUCUUCAGUCAGGCAGAGAGACCUUUUCCAGCUCCUUUAAGACAAAAUAUAGAUCACCUUCCUAAUCCAGAAAAAAGGCUACCACUUGGGAAUGAUAGUAUUCAACAGGAAGGAGAUAGAGAUUAUCGUUUUCCUCCUAUGGAAAACAGAGAGACCAUUAGUAGACCUUCACCAGUUGAUGUUAGGGACGUAGUAGGGCGACCUGUAGAUCCAAGAGAAGGUCCAGGGAGACCUCCAAUAGAUGGAAGGGAACACUUUGGAAGACCACAUAUAGAUAUAAGAGAAAAUCUUGUAAGACCAGGUUUAGAUAACCUUGGUCGAAGAGACCACUUUGGUUUUAAUUCAGAUAAGCCUUGGGGGCAUAGAGAUUUUGAUGAAAGAGAGCAUCGUGUUUUACCUCUCUAUGGUGGUCCCAAAGGCUUCCAUGAAGAUAGAGGUAGAUUUAGACAUGGAAAUUAUAGAUUUGAUCCUCGAAGUGGUCCCAUUUGGAACAGAGGAUUUGGACAGGAUGCUCACAGAGAUUUUGAUGACCGCAGAAGACCCUGGGAGAGACAAAGGGAUAGAGAUGACAGAGAUUUUGAUUUCUGCCGUGAAAUUAAUGGAAAUCGUUUUGGAAGAGACAGAAUUCAGAACACCUGGGUCCCACAUCCACACCCACGAGUUUUUGAUUAUUUUGAAGGGCCCAGUCCUCAACGAAAAGCUGAUAAUGUACCCCAGGUAAAUGGUGAAAAUACAGAGACAGAUAAUCAACCACCACCUUUACAAGUACAGAAUGAUCCUGAACUUUAUGAAAAACUGACAUCUUCAAGUGAAUUAAACAAAGAGAAGAAUGACACAGAAGCUGAUAUAGAAAGUGAACCAGUGGUAGAAAGCACAGAAACUGAGGGGACAUAAUCAUCACUCAGUAGGGAUAUGAUUUUUCCCCUGAGGACUGCUUUAGCUGCAUCCCAGAAAUUCUGGCAAGAUGAUGAAUGAAGUUCUGGCAUCGUCCUGUGUCCCAGGCCUUGUAGAAUUAAGUGAGACGUGCUUCAAAGUUCUAAUGUGCAUCACAUCGGAUCUUGUUUAAUGAAGCGUUAAAAGGAACCCAUCGUUACAUGUUGAGAAGGCUCUGUGCUUUUUUAUGCAUUGUUUCUGAUUGAAUCCAGAGAUUGCAAGCAUGCCUCCCCAUAUUACCUGUUUGGAGCAGGUUUAAUUUUAUAAAUUUUAAGCACAAACUCUAUGAGUUUCUAGUUCAUAUUUGUUCUUUUGAGGAUCCACUCAGAUGAACCAAGUUGCAUCUGUAAGAGACAUAAGCUUCUGCAGGCCCAGAAUAUAUUGGGAUAUAAAUUGCAACUAACUCUUUAUUUGUAACACCGCCGUGUAUGUGUAAUUGAAAGGACAGGUUGCAAGAGAAACUUCAGGGAAAAAAAGGUCCUGUUUUGUUUGCAACAAGAAUGUUGUUACCACAAUGAUUUUAGAAAACUAAAUUCUUUAAUUGAACACAGCAUGUGUAGACUGUGCAGUUCCUGAGUAGUGGCUAUAACCCAUUAAUAUUAGUGUCCUCCUUAGAUUUCCCCCCACUCUUCAACGUCUUAUGCUUUAUGAAACAUACAGUUGGGGAAAAAAUGCAGGAUUCAACAUAAUCUUUCUGAUAUUUAUCUCUGACCAUCAUUUCUUGUUCGCUGAAGCCAGGAGAUAUGAAUCAAGGCUGCGAGGCAUUGUGGGAGAAGGAAGUAAUGAUGACGAAUGAACAUAAUACAUUAUGUAGUUAUACAUACUUUAUAAGUAUGUUCAUUAUUAAGUUCAUUUGCAGGGAAGAGAAAUAACAGUUUCCUAUGAAUGUCCAAAAGUGUAUUAGGGGUUUCCAAGAUCAUCAGUAUUCAUUUUGCCUGUUGAAUACCUGCAGAAAACAUUCCCCCUACAUACACUCACACAUACACACACGCGCUC